UACAGAGGUCUCAAGCGUUGUUCGGAUUCAUUGGGCGUAAAGGGUGCGUAGGUGGCGCGGUAAGUCGGGUGUGAAAUUUCGGAGCUUAACUCCGAAACUGCAUUCGAUACUGCCGUGCUUGAGCACUGUAGAGGCAGGCGGAAUUCCGGGUGUAGCGGUGGAAUGCGUAGAGAUCCGGAAGAACACCGGUGGCGAAGGCGGCCUGCUGGGCAGUGGCUGACACUGAGGCGCGACAGCGUGGGGAGCAAACAGG
rnacentral:rRNA from 1 species